rnacentral:rRNA from 1 species
UACGUAGGUGGCGAGCGUUGUCCGGAUUUAUUGGGCGUAAAGCGCGCGCAGGCGGUGCGGUAAGUCUGUCGUGAAAUCUCCCGGCUCAACUGGGAGGGUGCGGUGGAGACUGCCGGACUGGAGGCACUCAGAGGCCGGUGGAAUUCCCGGUGUAGUGGUGAAAUGCGUAGAGAUCGGGAGGAACACCAGUGGCGAAGGCGGCCGGCUGGGGGUGACCUGACGCUGAGGUGCGAAAGCCAGGGGAGCAAACGGG